rnacentral:rRNA from 1 species
GUACGAUGUACACAUUUUUGAGUGCCUAUAUUUAUCUAUUCAACUA